rnacentral:rRNA from 1 species
GAUGAACGCUGGCGGCGUGCCUAAUACAUGCAAGUCGAGCGAACGGACGAGAAGCUUGCUUCUCUGAUGUUAGCGGCGGACGGGUGAGUAACACGUGGAUAACCUACCUAUAAGACUGGGAUAACUUCGGGAAACCGGAUCUAAUACCGGAUGAUAUUUUGAACCGCAUGGUUCAAAAGUGAAAGACGGUCUUGCUGUCACUUAUAGAUGGAUCCGCGCUGCAUUAGCUAGUUGGUAAGGUAACGGCUUACCAAGGCAACGAUGCAUAGCCGACCUGAGAGGGUGGUCGGCCACACUGGAACUGAGACACGGUCCAUACUCCUACGGGAGGCAGCAGUAGGGAAUCUUCCGCAAUGGGCGAAAGCCUGACGGAGCAACGCCGCGUGAGUGAUGAAGGUCUUCGGAUCGUAAAACUCUGUUAUUAGGGAAGAACAUAUGUGUAAGUAACUGUGCACAGCUUGACGGUACCUAAUCAGAAAGCCACGGCUAACUACGUG